GUGUUCGCUUCAGUGGCACAUAGACUAAAACUGGAACAAUACAGAGAAGAUUAACAUGACUCCUGCACAAAAAUGACACACAAAUUUGUGAAGCAUUCCGUAUUUUA
rnacentral:snRNA from 1 species